CCUACGGGUGGCAGCAGUGGGGAAUAUUGCACAAUGGGGGAAACCCUGAUGCAGCGACGCCGCGUGAGUGAAGAAGUAUUUCGGUACGUAAAGCUCUAUCAGCAGGGAAGAAAAUGACGGUACCUGACUAAGAAGCCCCGGCUAACUACGUGCCAGCAGCCGCGGUAAUACGUAGGGGGCAAGCGUUAUCCGGAUUUACUGGGUGUAAAGGGAGCGUAGACGGCAGCGCACGUCUGGAGUGAAAUCCCAUGGCUUAACCAUGGAACUGCUUUGGAAACUGUGCAGCUAGAGUGCAGGAGAGGUAAGCGGAAUUCCUAGUGUAGCGGUGAAAUGCGUAGAUAUUAGGAGGAACACCAGUGGCGAAGGCGGCUUACUGGACUGUAACUGACGUUGAGGCUCGAAAGCGUGGGGAGCAAACAGGAUUAGAUACCCCAGUAGUC
rnacentral:rRNA from 1 species